UGAUUUUCAAUUCCCCCCAAAAAUCCAAAUCCCUGUUUGUCGGUUCACCCAUGUUCCCCAUUCCCCUUUUUCACCAUAAUAUAUUCAUAUUCCCCUUGAGUUCAAUUAGAAGUCCCAUUCCUUACAGAGAAGGAAAAUUAGCAAAGAGCUCGAAGAAGUUAAUAAUGGAGGUGGAAUUGAGCGGUAUCACAUUUAAUGCUUUGCAAUUCAGAGACACUGGUUGAACUUGGAUUUUUGCUAGAGGUCCAUUACAGAGAACAAUUCAUGUUACAUGUCAAAUUGUAAACUUGAGGUUUGCCCCCAUUAAACUAUAUAUCUGUUUGAAGAUUAGAGUUUGAACUCUUAUUGUCCUUCAAUGUUCAGAAACAAACACACUAGUUUCUUUAUUAUCUGCUUCAAGAUUGAACAGAAAAGCAACAAAAUUAAAAAAAGAUACAGUAGAGAAGUGUGCUAUGACGGAGAAAAAUGAAGAAAAUACAAGUUAUACAUUGGAACGAACAAGAUUUCAAUUAUCGUCACAAAACCCACCAGAAUUUUUUUCCUCAUGAUAUGGGUUUAAUGUAUUGCUUUUGGAUAAUUUGGAUCUUUAUAAUAAUACAUAUGGAUAUUCAUAUUUGAUCGUA